AGCUUCUCCAUCCUGGUCCUUUUGUUUGAUUUUUAUGAGAGUCUGUAUGGGGCUCUCUUCUCUCUCUCUCUCUUUUCUUUAUUCUUUUAUUUUUUUUAAACUCUUAUGUUCUCUUAUUUUUAGGACAGAGGAAGCAAUAGACAGAGGUGACUUCCAUGGAGAAGCUAUAAAGAGCUACUGAGAAAGAAAUAUACAACCUGAAAGUUGAGAGUUAUGUUUUAUUUGGCGGACAAAACUGAGGACUUAAGCCUGGGACACAGCAUCUCAAAUAGCUCUGAAGGACUGUUCCAGAGAGGGAAAAGGAAGGAAAAAACUGAGGAAGGAAAUGAUUUCAGCAAUCAAAUCUGCCCUCUGCACGUUGAAAGCUCCCAGUAGACGGCGGUGGUGACAUUCUUCCCAGCUCACAGAGAGAGAAGGAGAAGCUCGGAUACGACAUUAUCUGGAAAGAAAGUCACCAUCAAACAGCCAGGGAAGUAGGGGUCAGCGCCACUGAUUAUUUUAACUGCAACUGAAAUGUCUUCUGUGACUGCCAAAAUUUUCACGAUUCAUGGACUAAAACCCAGAGGUAAAGUUAUUGCAUAAUAUCUUUCAGAUUUGGUAAAAACUAUUUUUAUCAAGUAUUAUAAAAUAUUACUGAAAUUAUGUGACUCUUCAACUUUAUUUUAUAAAAUUAUUACAUUUUUAACCUCCUAAU